AUAUGUAGGCGACGACUUUGUAUAAAAGCACCUUUGAGAAGCCUAAAUGACACAUUUUCAGUUCAUAUCUCGAGAAGCUUGACUGAGGAUCUGAUCAAUAUCACCAAUUUUCGUAUUGAAAAGAGGACAACAUGGCAGUAAACAUGAAGAUGCUAUUCUUGGGCGGACUGGUCGUAGCAACAGUUGCAUUUGCUACAGUUGAUUAUGAAUUUGAAAAAAGCCUGAAAGACAUCCUUGCUCAGAGAAAAGGUCUAUCGUACAUGAAAAACAUGAUCCAUGAUUUGGACUCUCGCCUGGAGAACCUACAUAAAAGAUCCUGUGGAGUGUUGCAGUUGCCCGGUUUUGACUGUGAAUUAGACCAAAUCAGCGGUCAGGAUGAAAGCCAUUGGGGAGGGAAUAACUCUCCGGGGAAGUGAAGGAUAUAAGAUCAUGAGGACCUAAUAUGUUUUAUGAAUAGUUACUGACCAGAUCUUUAUUCUCUAAGGAACUUGGAAGAAGAGAAAGUCCACUAUUUGUGUCAAAUUAUUGUUUUUCUGAUUCGUUUUAAACUCCCUGAAAAAAAUAAUUUAUGUAACUUUUGUUGGAUAAUGAAUUAAAGAUAUGAUAGAAUAAAA
rnacentral:misc_RNA from 1 species